rnacentral:rRNA from 1 species
GACGAACGCUGGCGGCGUGCCUAAUACAUGCAAGUAGAACGCACAGUUUAUACCGUAGCUUGCUACACCAUAGACUGUGAGUUGCGAACGGGUGAGUAACGCGUAGGUAACCUGCCUGGUAGCGGGGGAUAACUAUUGGAAACGAUAGCUAAUACCGCAUAAUAUUGAUUAUUGCAUGAUAUUUGAUUGAAAGAUGCUAUUGCAUCACUACCAGAUGGACCUGCGUUGUAUUAGCUAGUAGGUGAGGUAACGGCUCACCUAGGCGACGAUACAUAGCCGACCUGAGAGGGUGAUCGGCCACACUGGGACUGAGACACGGCCCAGACUCCUACGGGAGGCAGCAGUAGGGAAUCUUCGGCAAUGGACGAAAGUCUGACCGAGCAACGCCGCGGGAGUGCAGAAGGGUUUCGGAUCGUAAAGCUCGGUUGUAAGAGAAGAACGGGUGUGAGAGUGGAAAGUUCACACUGUGACGGUAUCUUAACAGAAAGGGACGGCUAACUACGUG